AUGGCACAGCUAGCGACCGGGUGACUUUAUUCACCCGCUUCGGCUGUUAUCAGUCCAUACAAUGGGCGUUAUUAGCAGAAAUCAGUCCCAUAGAUAUGGGCCAUCCACCUGCUAGAUUGUUCAGAAGGUUGUUAUCAUCCAUCCAGAUGGAGGAUCACUGACAGGAGCGUGGAAGACUCCAGAAUCCACUCUGGCUGGAAUCCGGUGGAUACAGCAGUGUUACAGGUACAGUACGUGAUAUUAAGGGCAGGCGGUCAUCACUGGGGGAAGACAAGAAGCAGACGUACUUCCAAGAGGGAGCUGCAGUGAGGACACAGCCUGGUCACUGAGGAGGCACUGAAAGGUUUCCCUAAUAGUUCCUGGUGAAUCAAAGCAGAACCAUAAAGGUUGCUGGACUGCAUGAUGGCCUUACCCCUGAGCAGUCAUCCUGUUAAAGGAGGAACCAGUUAGAAGCUGUUUUCAAAGUAGCUGAGCAGAUUUCAUCUCAACAGACAAAGCCGAUGGCAGAAGAUGUUUGGAGAAGAACUUCAGGCCGUGUACUGACAAGAUCAAAGCAGCUCGUGCUCUUUCUGCUUCCAUUUUGAUGGCAAGAAGAAGAAGAAG